GCCUGGGUGGCUCAGUCGGUUGAGCGUCUGACUUCGGCUCAGGUCAUAAUCUCGCAAUGAGUGAGUUUGAAUCCCGCAUUGGGCU
rnacentral:tRNA from 1 species